AUGAACGCUAGCGGCAGGCCUAACACAUGCAAGUCGAGGGGCAGCACAGGUAGCAAUACUGGGUGGCGACCGGCGGAUGGGUGCGUAACGCGUAUGCAACCUACCAUUGAUUGGGGCAUAGCCCGAAGAAAUUCGGAUUAAUACUCCAUAAUAUUCAUCAAAGGCAUCUUUUAUGAAUUAAAGCUUUUGCGAUCAAUGAUGGGCAUGCGUGACAUUAGUUAGUUGGUGAGGUAACGGCUCACCAAAACGAUGAUGUCUAGGGGUUCUGAGAGGAUUAUCCCCCACACUGGUACUGAGACACGGACCAGACUCCUACGGGAGGCAGCAGUGAGGAAUAUUGGUCAAUGGACGCAAGUCUGAACCAGCCAUGCCGCGUGCAGGAUGGCGGCCCUAUGGGUUGUAAACUGCUUUUCCACGGGAAGAACCCUCCGACGUGUCGGAGACUGACGGUACCGUGGGAAUAAGCAUCGGCUAACUCCGUG
rnacentral:rRNA from 1 species